AUCCAACUGACGAGUCACAAAUAGGACGAAACGCGUGUCCUGGAU
rnacentral:hammerhead_ribozyme from 1 species